rnacentral:lncRNA from 1 species
UCUAUAAAUAGUAAAUAUAUAUUUGAUUCUGCACUUUUGUGCUAUGUACUUAAUCAAAUAUUAGUGCUGCAAAAAUGAGACAAAACAAUCUUCUGUUACUAAUAAAACAAUAAAAAAUAAAAUAAAGAAAAAAUGUUGAGGUGAAAUAAAUAAAUAAGUAUAAAUAUGUAAUACAUUUUUGUUUGAAUCCGAUAUUUGAAUAUUUUAUAAAUACUAAUUCUACUGGACAAACUCAAACAAAAUACUAAAACUUUCUCAGAAUCAUCUUAAUCAUUAACUUUUCAUUCAAAUAAUUUAGCUUUUUAUCAGAGAAAACAAAAACAGAAGCAUAAGCGAUCUUCUGAAGUCACCGUGUGAUGAAUGAAAUAAAGAGCUUCUGGACUGUGUGAAUCUGGCUGGUUCAGCGGAUCAAAGUCUACAUGAAGACUCCUGAAGAGUGGUGACUACGUGAGUGGCGGAACUAAAAAGCGACGGGAAGGUGUUUCCGGUGGGGGAAGCAUUCAGUGCAGCACCAGCGCGCGACCGCCGUGUGUUUACAUUAAACUUUCUCCGCAUCUGCAGGUAAAAAUAUGUUAAUUACGCUAGUUAAAAUUAACCAGUCAUGGUAUUUAGUCAUGUAAAUGCAUUUAAGUGUCCGAACGGCGGAGUGUAGACCUCCGUGUCCCUUCUGUUAGUGUGAUUUUCAGUGUUGUCAUGAAGAAUAACUGUGGAAGUAUACUGUGCUGUUUUGAGAAAUAAAUCCGUCUUUAAUCAAUACUAUAGUACUACCUUGGUGUAUGUCUAAAAAUACCGUAGUACAUGUGAUAACGUGUUAAUACCAUGGCAUUUAUAAGAAUGUUAUGUCAUUAAAA